AUCAGGGCGUGAGUCCAGGGCCGGGAAGAAAAGAAAGUCACCCAGGACUACAAUUCCCACAAUACAUUUCAUGGGCUUUUUUCGAAGUGUGCGCUCGGAAAAACGUAUCCCAUUAUGGAGCAAGAUUUAAAAGUGCAGAAUCCACCCACCAUCAGCCUGGUCCUGGAACCGAGCGGAACUCAGUCCUCAGCUCCCUUGAGGAAUCGAGCAACCAGCACAUAUUGAGAACCUCCCGAACAUGUUGAGGACACAAAUCCAGUCUGCUUUUUGCUUAAGAUGAUAAAUGAAAAUUGAAAGCCUUGCACUAUAUUGUGAGAUAGAACCUGGCAUCUCUUCAUGCAUAUUCUCUGUUCCUCAAGGAAAUGGACCAUGGCUUUAUACUUCAUUGUAUUAAGUAUAAUUCCAGGAUUGUAAAGAGCAGAGCCUUCCAGGAAUAACGAGCAGCCCCAGUGAAGGUUCCAAGGCAAGAGCAGGUCUGUUAUGCUCCAGGAACGGCAAGGAGCCCUGUGGAUGCUGAAGCAGAAAAUCCAAGACCAUCGGGUCCCUACAGUCUGUCUCAUCUCAUUAGUGUCCUUUGAUUUGGAAUAGUUCCUGAAGGUACUGUGUUUUUUGCAAGGUGAAGGCUUCUGGCAGUCCAGCAUGGAUCGAGUUUAUUGGCACCAUUUUCCCAACAGCAUUUGCUCACUUUGGGUCUCCGUGUCCCAUUUUAGUAAUUCUCACAAUAUUUCAAACUUUUUCAUUGUGCAAUCACAGUGUGCCUCUUGUAUUUGUUACAGUGGUCUCUCAUCAGUGACCACGGCUCACCAAACCUCAGGGCUGGCCAGCAUCUUUAACAAGAAAAGAUUUUAAAAUUAAGGUUUGUACAUUUUUUUCCACAACAUAGGCCAUUGCACCCUUAGUAGAUUACAGUACAGUGUAAACAGAAUUUAUAGGCACUGCGAAAUCAAAAAAAUUCAUUUGACUCCCUUUAUUGCAGUGUUUGCUUUAUUGUGAUAUUCCCUUCAUUGCAGUGUUUUGGAACCAAAACUGCAAUAUGCCUGGACUUCAUUUUUGAAAAAAAGUAUUUUAAAAUGCACUUAAGUGAGCAGUCCCACGGGCUACAAAAAUAAAUAAGCGAACAAUUAAAAAAUGUUAAAAAAAAAAAAAAAAAAAGGCCGUGUGGUGCAACAGACCUGGGCCCUACUGUGGAUUGUGCCCUCUGCCUAUUUAGCGGUUCAGCAGCCAUAGAAACGUUGGCAAGUUUGUAACAUCCCUGAGGCUCAGUUUCUUAAUCUACAAAAUCAGGAUCGUUAAACCUGGCUCACCUCUCAGAACUGUCAUGAAGAUUAAAAGCAAUAAAGUAAGAAAGCAGUCUACCAACCAAAGACUGCACGGUAAAACCUCAUUAUGAUGCUGGACUUUUAUCCAGCAUCAGUGCGUAUAUGACCGAGUUGGUAGGGCAGCUUGAAUACUGCCCCUCGUGGGAAAGAUAACUCCAGGAGAGGGGUGAAGGUCAUCUGCAGAGCUUAUCAGAUUGUCCUUGUUCAUUAUUUUAAAAAUAACUUUAUUUUGAAGUAGUCUAAGACUCAGAAGUUGCAAAAAUGUGUUCCCGUUCUUUUUAAAGAGUUGGCAGCCUAGUUCUUUCUAUUUAUUGCACUCUGCCUGGUGUUCUGGAACUUUCUUUGAUUUACUGAGUUCUAAUGGUAAGAACUCAGCUCUGUGUGCGCUCACAAGGUACCUAGCACUGUGUCAGCACUUCAUAUAUGUCCUUGUCGUGUAAGCCUCGAUCAGUAAUAACACAAAGGAGAUGUUUUAGUUAUUCCUAUUUUUGUGGGCGAAGAAUCCAAGGCAUAGACAUGUUCAGAAAGUUACCCCAGUCUGCAGCUCAGAAUGUGGGUCCAGUAUUUCAGCCUGGCACCUGACUGCAGGGCCAAGCACAGAAAUGUAGGAGGAAGUCCAUCCUUGCAUCACAGAAUAACUCAGAGACAUUUCUAUUAUUUCACACAAUGUGCAUGCAGGGGAAAGUGCAUGCAUACACCCGAGGGAGGGAUUCUUACGCUGAGUCAGGAAAUAAAGGCAAAACAGGAUUUAUGACAAAGAAAGAGAAGGGAAAAAGAAGCUGAAGACUGGAAACAGUGAGCAUUUUUAGCAGUUUUUUUUAAACACUGAUUAGCUGGCAACUAAGAAGGUCAACCUGGGUAUUUUGUUCUUGAGCGGUCCUUCUAAAGGUCAAACAACUUUUCCCAUUUUUUAUUGAUUCUCCAUAGAACUUUGGGAGAUUAUCUGGCCAGCAUGAGAGACAGGUGCCCCCAUUAAAGAAGGCCAGAUUUCCUUUGUCAGUUCCUCCUCAUUCAUUGGCCAGGGAUCCUCACCAUUUCCCUCUUAACAGAAUUUCUCAUUUGUCAGGCUUAAGGACUGAGUUCAUUAUUUAAUAACAAUUGAAUUUAUUUUGAAGUCCUGGCAAUUCAUGUCACUUAAUGUUUCCUAGAAGUUUUGCUACCAUUCUAUUUCUGUGGUCACUGUCCUGGUCAUAGCCCUCAUAACUCCAUGUCCUAUAAACUUGUUGAUGAGAUUAUCAUCAGACUCAUUUCCCUCAAUCUCUCUGGCUCAAGAAGUCACAAGGAUUUGCUAUAACCUUGGGCGGUGAAAUCAAGCUCCCUUGCGUGGCCACCAAGCAUCUUUCCCCCUCCUCUCCUCUCCAUCUCCAAUCCUAUUUUUUCCUUUCCCCCUAAAACAUACGUAUGAGUCAACUCAGGCUGCCUUAACCAAACAUCACAGAUGGGGUGACUCGGACAACAGGAGUUUAUUUCUUUCAGUUCUGAAAGCUAGAAGCCUGAGAUCUGGGUGCCAGUGUGGUCAAACUCCAGUGACAGCUUUCUUGCAGACAGCUACCUUUUGCUGGGUCCUAUGUCCAUGGCAGUGAGAGAGAGAGUGGGCAUGCUGUUGAGUUCUGGUAACCCCACCAAAGGGCUCCAUCCUCAUGACCCCAUUCGGGAGGAGAGUACCAUCUCCAAAUACCAUCCCAUGGGAGAUGGGGCUUCCACAUGGGAAUUUGGGGGGGGGCACAAUUCAGUCUGUAGAAAUAUUUAUUCCGUUUCACAUGCUCAUAUUAUUUGCUUUAAUCCCACUGGUUCAUUCCCUCUAGUUGGACUGCUUGCUUUUAUGGUCCGAUAAUCUUUCUUUUCAAAACCCAAUCCUGAAUUCUAAGAAGCACAGUUUUAGUUUAAUCCUUCUUUUGUUGGACUUUCUCCCUUUUCAUAAAAUAUUCCUUUGUGCCAUUUUAGUUUAUAUAUCUUUGAUCUUAGCGUUUUUGCUAUAUAUUUUUAUUCUAAAAUUACAAUUGGGUUGCAGUGAGGCAAGUGCCAUGUUUUGAAGAAUGAGUUCUGCUAUAAAGAGAAUCUUUUUAUUAUGAAAGGAUUCUGACAGUCUAACUGGUGGGCUACCUAUCUAUAGCAACUAUAAGACUCCAUUAUAAGCAAGACAGGGGAGAAAGCACAGUAACAGAGUUGAUUGUGGCAAGAUUUAGAAUCAUAGGAUUUUCAAGCUUUUAUUUGUCAUAUUACGUGUUUGAAGACUUCAUGCCUUGAGAAGGGACUUGUUUAAGAUCAUAUAGGUAGGUAAUGGUGAUAUAGACCCAGGUCUCUUGGUUUCCAUUCUACAGUUUGUGAAUUCAAAUGUAAUUUUUCAAAGGCGACCAAGUUGGAUCUAUUAGUUUUCUGUUGCUGUUUAACAAACUAUGACAAAUGUAGCAGCUUAAGACACACAUUUAUUAUCCCAUAGCUUCCAUGUGUCAGGCGUCUCAGCACGGUGGAAACGAGUCCUCGCUUAGGGUCUCCCAAGGCUGCAGCUAAGGUGUUUGAGAGCUGGGGGUCCUCCUCCAAGCUCAUCUGAAUAUUGGCAGAAUACGUUUCCUUGAAGCUGUAAAACUCAUGGCAGCAAACUCAUUGCUUCUUCACGGCCCACAAGAGAGAGGGAGGAUGUUGUUUCAAAUCUCUGGACGGUAAACCUUCUUUUAAAAGGCUUACCUGAUGAGGUCAGGUCCUUCCGGGAUAAUCUCCGUUUUCGUUAACUCAGAGGAGACUGAUUAGGGAUCUUAUAUUUGAAAGAAUCACUUUACUUUUGUCCUAUAAUGUAACCUAAUCAUGGAAGGGAUAGAGAUCAUAUUUGAAGUUCUCACCCACACUGUAGGUCAGAUGGUUAUACUGGGUAUGUGCAUUGUGUUAAUUUUUAAAAAAUUAAGAAACAGGAAAAACAAAGUCAUUUCUAGUUUGGCUUUCUGAAUAAAACACCACGACGUAUUUCUUUCUAGGCAUUUGUUCUUGUUGCUGUUCCAUACUUCCCUUGGGUUUUUUUUUUUUUUUUCAUACUUUAAAAAUGGAGUCAUACAGUGUAUAUAACUAAAUUUGAUACUUUAUUCAUUUAGUUUUAUUUUGUAAGAAUCUUUACAUGUGGUUAUAUAUCACCCCUACGGACAUACUUUUUCCCUUUACUAACCAUGUCUUUUCAGUGUGGGGGGGCAGGGAAUGGAAAAUGUAGAUAAGCAAAAAGGGAAAGCAAAUCAACUCAAAUUAUAAUAUUCAGAAUUAAACCUUAGUAACAUUUUAUGUUAAUACUUCCAGAUUUUUUGGUCUGGGUCUGAAUAUAUGAGUAUACUCCUAUAUGUUUUAAGGUGGAGAAAAUUUUUUUGCCUUAUGUCUCAGCACUCAAAUUUCCCUUUGGUGAGGGGUGAUGUCCCAUGAUUUAAGAAAGAUAUUCUGGAAAAAAAAAAGGAAAAAUAUUCUGAUAAUUCCUCGGGGCUUAAGAUGAGAUCCCGAGUUUCAGGAUAUUGGAUGGUGUCAGGAUUUCAGAGAAGGAGGAAGCUGCUCUGAAGGAGAGGGCAGAAUCCGGAGCUCCCAGGAGACACGGGAGGUGGGAGCGAAGGGCCAGGGGAGGAAGGGAGGAGAGGAGAGGUGAUUAUACGCUGCUGGACACUGUGAUGUGACUGCCAGUGGCCCUUUCCCCGGCUCAGCUUUUACUACAAACUGCUAAAAUUUUAAAUUCUUAGUGUGAAGGAUUUGUUGAUGCAAUGCAGGGUUUCUCAGCCUUGGAACUAUUGACAUGUGGGGCUGGAUAAUCCUUUGUUGCACUGGAGAGUGUCAGCAGCAUCCCUGACCUCUACUGGCGGAUGUGGAUGGCAGCCCGCUCUUCAGCUGCGACAACUGAAAGUAUCUCUAGACAUUGCCAACCAUCCCUGGGGAGCAAAAUCAGCCCCGGUUAAAAGCCGCUGUUGUAAUGGGAAUGGUAGAAAGGGCUACAUGUUGUGUUAGGUAAUUCUGUCUAGGCUGAACUGCAUUCUCCUGAGUCUCUUUCCUGGAUGUUUCUGGUCCUGGUGUGUUUCUGGUCACCCUCCUGGUGCAAAGAGGCAGCUGGACUCACAAGGGUUCGACUCCCCUCAAAUCUUGCAACAUUUCCACCAGUAGGCGCCUUGAGCUUCAUGGAGAAGGGCUCUGGUUUCUGGAGGAUGCCACUAUCAUUAUAUUAGUUUGCCAGGGCCACCAUAGCAAAAUACCAGACUGGGUGGCUUCAGCAACAGAGAUGGAUUUUUCUCAUAGUUCUGAAGGGAGAAGUCUGGAGUCAAGGUGGGGUUGCUUUCUUCCGAGCUCCUCUCCUUGCCUGGUGCAUGGCAUCUUUUCUCUGUGUCUCCACAUCAUCUUCCCUUAGUGUGUGUGUAAGGAUUCUAAUUUCUUCUUCUCAUAGAGCUACCAGACGUAUGGGAUUAGGGCCCACCCUAAUGAGUAAUUUUAACUUAAUUAUCUUGUUAAAGACAUUAUCUCCAAAUAUGGUCAUAUGCUGAGAUGCUAAGAUGUAUUAGUUGGGGUUCUCUGGAAAUGGAAAAACAAACGAUAAGAGACAUACAACAUAUAUAAAAUAUAUAGUAUAAUGUAUAAGUAGGAUAUAAGUGUGUAUAUUUAUAGAUACAAGUGUAUGCAUACCUAUAUAUACUUAUAGAUAUUUCCUAUUUAUAUUGGUUAUGAUAUAAUUACAUUAUAAUAAAAUAUUAUCUAUAUUUUAUGUAGGAUAAUUUGUAUAUAA